AAGAUAAGACAUUCUUGAGGUCUAAUACACUCUUGCUUUCUGUCAUUUUUUUUUUGUAAUAUCUUAUAUGUAUUUUCUUGAAUUAUUUUUUGAUUGCUUGCUGAGUAUCAAAAUUUGAACUUACAAGUGCAUGAAACCAAACAAACAAAAUUAUUGUUUUAGGUACGCAGGAAUUAAUUGUCCCAACCAGACAGAGUAGAAUGAUUCAGAGGUGUGGAAAUAAAGGCCUAAAAAUGUUUGCCAACUGAGCUCCAUGCUGCCGAGUGACCGCCGCUUCCUCAGGCAUCAAUAAUACAAGAGGAAGUUAUUGUUCCGCUGCAGGCGACAGCAACACAGAAUUAAAAGGCUUGUGGGGAGGCUGUGCUAGGCCUUUCACUCAAUCCACUCGGGUUUCAGCUGCUGUA